rnacentral:misc_RNA from 1 species
AGAAAAGCGGGUCUGCGGCGGCAAAGCCAAGGCGGUGAGAGGCGGAGCUGCGGAGGCGAAUUGAGGAAGAGGAAGUGGUGGAUGGGGAAAAUUGAAGAAGGGCAGAACGGGUUGAAGAAGUGGAAGAGGAUGUGGUGGGAAGGAGAUGGAAAGUGGCACGGGAAGCUGCAGACGCCAUUGAUGAUGGUGCAAAGGAGAGGAG